GUGUGGCAAUCAAGAUGUUUGCUCAUUACCGAAGGCACAUGCCUGCAAAGCAUGUGAUAGAAAUGUCAACUUCGAGCAGCUAAAGAACCAACCGACCGGUAGAAAUUGAAGACCCCAUGGUGGUGGCCGUGUGCUGACCGACCAGCAGGACUAGGCAGUGGUGGAAAUGGUGAGGACCAGGAAUGACAUAUGGCUGUCCGAAAUAAAGCAGGACAUUGAGGAGAACGAUGACACCUUUGCCAAUAUGGCAUCCAUCAGCCUGCCAACAAUCACCCGCCUUUUGAAGAGGCACCAGGUAUCUAUGAAACACAUUUACCUGGUGCCUUGUGAGAGAAACACCAACCUGGCGAAACAACUGUGGGCCGUGUAUGUUAAGAGGGUGAUGGUGCUUGAUGCUGCAGUGAACCAUCACAAGUAUCUAUUUGUUGAUGAAGCGGGCUUUAACCUGGCAAAAGCUUGGUGCUAUGGGCGGAACCUCAUUGGCCAACGGGUGGCCUUACAAGUGCCUGGACAACGUGGGGGAAACAUCUCCAUGUGCGCAACUAUCUCUGAAGAUGGUUUGGUAGAACGUAGGCCAUUACUUGGAUCCUACAACGCUACACAUCUCAUUGUGUUUCUCAAUGAAAUUGAGCAGGCCUGUCAAGGUGAAGGGGUCACCUAUGUCAUGGUUACGGGCUCAUCCCCAAUUUGUGACCCUAUACCUGCCCCCAUACUCUCCUUUCCUCAACCCUAUAUAGGAUUUUUUUCCAGCAUGGAAGUGGAAGGUGUACGAUCGCCAUCCCCAUGAGUGUGCCACGACGUCAAUGCAGACCAAUGUCAAGCUUGGAUUUCUGUCAAUUCUGUUGGGUAAUUUAAGUGUAUUGCCUAAUGUAAAAACGGUAUAAUCUACUGCAAUUUUACAGCACUCUAGCAUAUUACUUUCAGCACUUCUAUGUGUGAUUUUAAAUGUGCAUCCUGCUUUGUUUGUUAUUGAAUUAACUGGUGGUUAAAAUGACUAAAUUGAAAAGAUAACAUUAUGUUGUGUUAUUAAUUAAACCAAUGUUUUCAUUACAUUUGUUUUCAUUACAUUUCACAAUAAGCUUAUAUUUUAAAUCCACUGUUGUGUGGUGAGAGAUGUUUACAAUCCAAAUGAAUGCGCAACGACUGGUUUUUGAAUGAAAGACUGGCUGUGUUACAAAUGUGACCCGUUUGGAGAUUUGUACUAAGAGUUGCGAAAAUGUACCACAUACUUGUGAAAAUAGUACCACAUACUUGUGAAAAUAGUACCACAUACUUGUGAAAAUAGUACCACAUACUUGUGAAAAUAGUACCAAAGAGAUUUGUUUUUAAAAGGUCAAAAACACCAAAGCCACUAAUAAUAACAACACAAGUCUAUCAACACACUUUCCUACUCAUUCAUUACAGCUGCAGUGGUGGUUAUAGCGUGAGUGGAAGUAUGAAGAAAGUACAAUGUAUGGCUUAUAAAAUGUUUGAAUAAAAGUGUUGACAGGGUUGAGCAAGAACUUAAACAUGAACUCGCUCAUAAAAACACUCUUUACUGUAUUCGGUGAGUUUCUCUCUAGUCAUGGUUUUAAAAGUUUCUAAAUCUCACUACUUUGCUGUGGCUUUCAUUUAUGCCUGCUAAAUUACUGCAGACAUGGUAAUCUGAGCCAUCCGAUUGUCCGGCGGUAGGCCUAUAGUUGUCUACUGUAUCUGGCAAACACUAUUUGCACAUGGUGACACUGCUCUUAGUAAAGGGAUAGUUGGUUUGAUUCCCGGGACCAGCUGUCCAUAAAAUGUAUGCACACAUGGCUCUAGGUCUCUUUGGAAAGAAAGCGUAUUUUAAGUGGCAUAUUGUCACGGAUCCCUCUGGAACUUUCAUCACACA